CCAGACUCCUACGGGAGGCAGCAGUGAGGAAUAUUGGUCAAUGGGCGCGAGCCUGAACCAGCCAAGUCGCGUGAGGGAAGACGGCCCUACGGGUUGUAAACCUCUUUUGCCGGGGAGCAACGGGCGCCACGUGUGGCGCCACUGAGAGUACCCGGAGAAAAAGCAUCGGCUAACUCCGUGCCAGCAGCCGCGGUAAUACGGAGGAUGCGAGCGUUAUCCGGAUUUAUUGGGUUUAAAGGGUGCGUAGGCGGAGCUUAAAGUGAGGGGUAAAUUGGGGGGGCCCACCCCCGCCCCGCCAUUGAAACUGGCGCUCUUGAGUGGAAGAGAAGUAUGCGGAAUGCGUGGUGUAGCGGUGAAAUGCAUAGAUAUCACGCAGAACCCCGAUUGCGAAGGCAGCAUGCCGGCUUCCUACUGACGCUGAAGCACGAAAGCGUGGGGAUCGAACAGGAUUAGAUACCCUAGUAC
rnacentral:rRNA from 1 species